GGUCUCCCAGUGCUUUCUGCAGGCUGUUUCUUAACACUGACCUCCCCUGUACACACUUCAGCCCAGGCCUCGUGCCUGGUUUGAAUUGUGAAUAGGGAGAUAUGG